UCUCCUUCUGUAGUAAUAGGAAUGUGGCCAGGCACGUGGUUAGACCAUAUUUCCCACUCUCUAGUAGCCAGAUGUGGCCAUGUGACUAGAUGUCACCCACAGAAGUGAGAGGAAGUGAUUUGUUCCAUGUCGGAGUCAAGCUUCUUAGAAAUGGACGUGCUUCUUCCGGGAUCUCUUUCUCCUUCCACCAGCUAAAUGCAGAUAGCAACAACCACACAGUGGGGACACAGAGAAGUGAAGCCUGGGGCCCUGAAUGAUCACAUGGAAGAGACUCACCCUUCUGGUUUCAAUAUUUGACUUAUAGUGGUACUGUCCCACACUGCUGGCAACCCCAGAAGUGCCAUCAGUGACCCCGAACCCUGCUGAAGGCCUACACCUGCUGAAGAAGCUCAUGCCCAGUUUGAACCCACUCAUGACUGAGCCCAAGGACAGUCUUGUCUGUGCCAAGGGUCCUGGCGGCUGCGUUGAAGGACUGAAGGGAAAAAAAAAAUCACCAUUUUGCUUUCUCCACUCUUGACUGUGAAGUUUAAUAUAAGGUAUGGCUCAGUCUUUGUGAUGAUUCAUAACCUGGCUCUAACCAACAAACCAUUGGACCAUCCUGCGCCUCAUCUCUCUCCCCUACAGAGUCUCUCCUUACCUGUCUGGCUUUUGGGUUCCUUACACGUGGUCUCCCCAGAAAGCACUGAGGACUCUGAUUCAUCAUGUCAAGCGGUCAAUUAGAAUCCGGGAAAGCCUCUCUCUGGCCUCACCUUACUUCCUGUACCAGGAGAGAUGCUCAUCAAUAGUGAGAAAGAGUUGAUGGGAUUAGAGUCUGGAAGUGACAACCUCUCCUGAACCUGAACUCAUUGAUUUCUUCGUUUUACAAAACAGUGUUCUUGAAAAAAAUAAACAAAAAAAGGAAAUAAUACAACUAAGAACUCCAAGGUCUAAAUUUUAACCAGCUGUAUCUCAUAACAACAGAAGCUGCAAUGGCCAACAUACGUCAUUUAUAAAACGCCAACUUAUGUGGAUGGGGAUUGGGAUUUAUUGGCCUAAUGCAAAGAGCAUAUAAAAAAUGAGUAGGGAAAAGACUACUGUUUGUGUAUAUAUGUAAUUAUUACAUAUAUUCUUAAAUGAUAUUUAAUAAAUAAUCAAAUGAUUAAAUAAU
rnacentral:lncRNA from 10 species